rnacentral:miRNA from 1 species
AGCCAGGUGGAUGCGGACGAGC